UUUCCGUAGGUGAACCUGCGGAAGGAUCAUUACUGAGUGAGGGCCCCUCGGGGUCCAACCUCCCACCCGUGUUUAACGAACCUUGUUGCUUCGGCGGGCCCGCCUCACGGCCGCCGGGGGGCAUCUGCCCCCGGGCCCGCGCCCGCCGAAGCCACCUGUGAACGCUGUCUGAAGUAUGCAGUCUGAGACAAUUAUUAAAUUAAUUUAAACUUUCAACAACGGAUCUCUUGGUUCCG
rnacentral:misc_RNA from 1 species